rnacentral:rRNA from 1 species
GACGAACCGUGCAAACGUUGUCCGGAUUUACUGGGCGUAAAGAGCGCGCAGGCGGUCGUUCAAGUCGAGUGUGAAAGCCCCCGGCUCAACUGGGGAGGGUCAUUCGAUACUGAUCGACUUGAAGGCAGGAGAGGGAAGUGGAAUUCCCGGUGUAGUGGUGAAAUGCGUAGAUAUCGGGAGGAACACCAGUGGCGAAGGCGACUUCCUGGCCUGUUCUUGACGCUGAGGCGCGAAAGCUAGGGGAGCAAACGGGG